UAUCACUAUCAACGGGAAGGAUUACCAAGACCAGGUUCUGAAAAAGUUCGGUUCCGUUGGCUCCAGUUCAGUGUUUUCGGCCAAACAAAUGGGGACGGGCGUUGAAUGUGCAUUGAAGUUGAUGAAUCUCGAAGGCGAUUCCAGCAUAGUGGAAGGCUACUUAAACGAAACGAAACUGUUGGCGAAAUUGCAAGGGGAUGAAAAUGUUGUAGCGCUGUAUGACUAUUGUCAUGUUCCGGAGUCCAACCAACUCUACCUGGUUAUGGAAAAGGG